AGUGAACGCUGGCGGUAGGCCUAACACAUGCAAGUCGAACGGCAGCACAGUAAGGGCUUGCUCUUACGGGUGGAGAGUGGCGGAAGGGUGGGGCAAACAUCGGAAUCUACUUUUUCGUGGGGGCUAACGUAGGGAAAAUUACGCUAAUACCGCAUACGACCUACGGGUGAAAGCAGGGGAUCUUCGGACUUUGCGCGAUUGAAUGAGCCGAUGUCGGAUUAGCUAGUUGGCGGGGUAAAGGCCCACCAAGGCGACGAUCCGUAGCUGGUCUGAGAGGAUGAGCCGCCACACUGGAACGGAGACACGGUACAGACUCCUACGGGAGGCAGCAGUGGGGAAUAUUGGACAAGGGGCGGAAGCCUAGUCCAACCAAACCACGUGGGUGAAGAAGGCCUUCCGGUUGGGAAGCCCUUUUGUUGGGAAAGAAAAGCAGCACGUGAAAACCCCGCUGUUCUGACGGUACCCAAAGAAUAGGCACCGGCUAACUUCGUG
rnacentral:rRNA from 1 species